GGAUGACUCGACGAUGAAGAGGUUGUCGGACAUGGAGGCGGCGCUGAAGAGGGCGAGUGGGGAGGUUGAUCGAGCUAAUAAUGUCGUCCGAAAGCUUGAGAAUGAGAAUGCAGAGAUGCGGGCGGAGAUGGAAGCUUCGAAGCUGAGUGCGUCCGAGUCCGCCAAGAUGCGGCAGGAGGUUGAGAAGCGGGAGAAGAAGUGUCUUAAGCGCUUGCAAGCAUGGGAAAAGCAGAGGGAUAAGCUGAAGGAGGAUAUAGCUGAGGAGAGGAGGAAAAUUGCUGAGGUGGAGCAGGAGUUGAAUGGAGUCCUGGAUUCUAACAAGCAAGCUGAGAUGAAAUGGAGGCAAGCAAUAAAGGCGAAAGAGCUCGCAAUUGCGCAAGUCGAGGAGGAGCGCCGAGCUAGGGAAGCCGCCGAUGUGAGCAUUAAGAGAAGGCAUGAAUCGCUUCGACAA
rnacentral:misc_RNA from 1 species